rnacentral:rRNA from 1 species
UACGAAGGGUGCAAGCGUUAAUCGGAAUUACUGGGCGUAAAGCGUGCGUAGGUGGUCUUUUAAGUCCGUUGUGAAAGCCCUGGGCUCAACCUGGGAAUGGCAGUGGAUACUGGAAGGCUGGAGUGCGGUAGAGGAGGGUGGAAUUCCCGGUGUAGCGGUGAAAUGCGUAGAGAUCGGGAGGAACAUCAGUGGCGAAGGCGGCCCUCUGGACCAGCACUGACGCUGAGGCACGAAAGCCAGGGGAGCAAACGGG